rnacentral:lncRNA from 1 species
GGGGAAAAUUUAGAAGCACUUUUGGAUUAUUUUAGAGCUUGGAAAGUAUAAAAGCUGAUGCUUUUGGGAACACAAUCUCGAACUCUGGCCUUAAUAAUUGUCUUAAUUCUCUGACUGAUGUAUAUGGUGGAGAUUGGAUGAGUCAUAUCACAUGUACCGACCGGAAAGAUAACGGACAAAAUAGAAUACAUGAACUUAUGCCAUCAAUGCAUUGUUUGUUCAUCUCAUCGGUUUGUAGCGUUUUAGGAAUGUUGUACAUUUUACAUUUGGACUGACAAGAUUGUCAUCAUGCCAUUUGGUUAAAGAGGGUGCACGAGACUCGUGUAUUCUUGUUAAUGAGAUGCUCAUUCCCCAUUGGACUAUGACAAUGACGAAACACCCUCUCCGGUGGUAUUGUAGAUAUGCUAACUAGUUGAGAAUCUAGGAUGAUUUCACC